GACAGAGGUGCCGAGCGUUAGGCGGAAUCACUGGGCUUAAAGCGUGUGUGGGCGGACCGUUAAGUACCUUGUGAAAUCCCACGGCUCAACCGUGGAACGGCUGGGUAUACUGGCGGUCUUGGGCCACCUAGGGGUCAUCGGAACAGGCGGUGGAGCGGUGAAAUGCGUAAAUAUCGCCUGGAACGCCGACGGUGAAAACAGAUGACUGGGGGUGUGCCGACGCUGAGACACGAAAGCCAGGGGAGCGAACGGG
rnacentral:rRNA from 1 species